AUUGAACGCUGGCGGCAGGCUUAACACAUGCAAGUCGAGCGGGGAAGGUUGCUUCGGUAACUGACCUAGCGGCGGACGGGUGAGUAAUGCUUAGGAAUCUGCCUAUUAGUGGGGGACAACAUCUCGAAAGGGAUGCUAAUACCGCAUACGUCCUACGGGAGAAAGCAGGGGACCUUCGGGCCUUGCGCUAAUAGAUGAGCCUAAGUCGGAUUAGCUAGUUGGUGGGGUAAAGGCCUACCAAGGCGACGAUCUGUAGCGGGUCUGAGAGGAUGAUCCGCCACACUGGGACUGAGACACGGCCCAGACUCCUACGGGAGGCAGCAGUGGGGAAUAUUGGACAAUGGGGGGAACCCUGAUCCAGCCAUGCCGCGUGUGUGAAGAAGGCCUUUUGGUUGUAAAGCACUUUAAGCGAGGAGGAGGCUACUGGUAUUAAUACUACCGGAUAGUGGACGUUGCUCGCAGAAUAAGCACCGGCUAACUCUGUGCCAGCAGCCGCAGUAAAAC
rnacentral:rRNA from 1 species